UAAUUAGUUCAGUAGCAGCAAGAAACAGCCAAGAUGCCGCGCUGUUACAUGGUGAAGAAGGCUUUGUGCAACAAGUACAUAAGCAACGUUGCCAGAGGAUUCGAGAGCUGGGGUCGCGGAAGGAGCACGCCAUCACCGACCACCAUGCAGAUCCCCGUGUCGCCCAUAGAAGGGAGCGUCGCACCCCCUGUUGCUCAAGAAUACGUGAACACGCAAUCACAAGAUACGACCGCAACAGCAAGAACGAAGACGUCGGAGCAGGACGUCUGCAAGGAGAAGCUGAACGAGCCUGGCAAUGUGGACAUGACAAGCGCGACAAGCAAUGUAGCCAUCCCAACAACGGAACCUCCGAUUACAGCUCGAACGGAGACGACAUCGGUGAUCACAUGCACCACUACAGGGUCAUCUUCCGCGGUAGCAGUUCCACAAACGACAGAGUCGAUCAGCUUGAGCGUCGAGAACACAACGAUCACGACGUCCACGUUGCCGUUCACGGCUCCUAGAUCACCGUCCAAAACAGCUCACAUAGAACAUCAACAGCACGCGAAUGUGCUCCACCACUCACCGCCAGGAGAACCUUCUCCUCCCUCGAGCACAGCCACGCCGUACCACGUAGAAGAAACAGCGGAUCAUUCGACACCUGAUUCGAAGAUAGCGUCCAACAACGGCAAUGUGAUCACCAAUUACGUUUCCUCGAUGUUCAAAGACCGUUCCGCGGCCGAAACGGAAGCUGCCCACGAUUUACUAGAGCUAUCAAGGUCUCUGCCUCCUUUACCACCACCUAGCGUCGCUAUUGGACCACAGAGUGUCAUAGAGUCGCCCGCGACGGAUAUCCAAGAGAUGACGGUAUACCAGCCAGAUCAACCUAUCUACCAAGUGAACACCAUCGACCUUGCGAGCUCCACCGUGUAUGCACACCACCAGCAACAACAACCACCCACUGCGAGUAUCAUUUACGAGCCCAGUGCAACGAUAGUUCAGCAAACGGGCAGUGUGUUCAUCCCCCUGUCUCCCGUUCAGGAGAUCCUGCUCACCUACAGCACACCGUCCAUCCCGUGCACGCCAAUCGUAGCCCAUCAACCACCUCAACCGCUACCACAGCAACAGCAACCUCAUCCGACUAUAGAGGCGGCGCCGCCGCUAACGCCACCUACUUCUGAGUGCAGCAGCGAUAUCGAGAAUAAUAACCCUAAUUCGCAACCGAGUCAAAAGGAUAAAGAAGUGCAAACAGUAACCGAGCAGACAGAAGUGAAGCCAGCUAGUUAUACUUACGAUACUUUGCUGGUGGCUGAUGGAAGGUCCAAGAACAAGAAGAGUGUACCCGCUCAGAAGACACAGGAGGCUGAACCGAUUGAAGCACCUGAAACAUCGAAGAUUGGACGUUACGUCUGUUGCGAGUGUGGUAAACAGUAUGCAACCUCCUCGAACCUAUCACGGCAUAAGCAAACUCACCGCAGUAUCGAUUCACAAUCGGCGAAGAAGUGCAUCCACUGUGGCAAAGCGUACGUGAGCAUGCCAGCUUUGGCGAUGCACGUGCUGACCCAUAAGCUGACACACAGUUGCGGCGUGUGUGGCAAAAUGUUCUCCAGGCCGUGGCUACUCCAAGGCCAUCUGAGAAGUCACACGGGCGAGAAGCCUUAUGGGUGCGCGCAUUGCGGCAAAGCGUUCGCCGAUCGGUCGAAUUUGCGCGCCCACAUGCAAACACACUCCGCAGACAAAAACUACGAGUGUCACAAGUGUCACAAGUCGUUCGCACUGAAAUCCUACCUGAACAAACACCUGGAAUCAGCCUGCCAGAGGGAGAACGACGAGCCCAGCAAUGACCUAGAUGCUCCCCAGUAGAUUCGUUCGAAUUGGGGCCGACUGUUGGCGCUAGUAUCGCUAAUCGCCAUCAAAUAGCAUCAGGCAGAACACCAAACGGAGGGACAAAUUUCUCGGAGGUGCAAACUCGUCCAAUAUCGACGACCGUGGGUCGAUUUAAAUCCGCCUAGAAUUCGAUAGGUUCAACGGUGAUGGCGAGUUCGUUGUUUCCCUCCCCUUUCCCACUCCCACACAAACUUCUAAAAAUUUCCAUGUGACAUAACCUCGAUUGAAUCCACAAAAGGAAGACAUCAUUCAUAGAACAAUGAAAACAACGGAGAAUUUCUUGCCACCAUCGUUAACGUCACAGGUGAUCCUUUGGCGUCAAACGUCGAUCACACAUCGA
rnacentral:misc_RNA from 1 species